UACGUAGGUGGCAAGCGUUGUCCGGAUUUACUGGGCGUAAAGCGCGUGUAGGCGGCUUUGCAAGUCGGGUGUGAAAGCCCUCAGCUCAACUGAGGAAGUGCGCCCGAAACUGCAGAGCUUGAGUGCCGGAGAGGGUGGCGGAAUUCCCCAAGUAGAGGUGAAAUUCGUAGAUAUGGGGAGGAACACCGGUGGCGAAGGCGGCCACCUAGACGGUAACUGACGCUGAGACGCGAAAGCGUGGGGAGCAAACAGG
rnacentral:rRNA from 1 species